UACGUAGGGUGCGAGCGUUAAUCGGAAUUACUGGGCGUAAAGCGUGCGCAGGCGGUUUUGUAAGCCCGAUGUGAAAUCCCCGGGCUUAACCUGGGAAUGGCAUUUGGGACUGCAAGGCUCGAGUGCGGCAGAGGAGACUGGAAUUCCUGGUGUAGCAGUGAAAUGCGUAGAUAUCAGGAGGAACACCUGAGGGGAAGACGGGUUGCUGGGCCGACACUGACGCUGAUAGCGCGAAAGCCAGGGGAGCAAACGGG
rnacentral:rRNA from 1 species